GAUGAAGAACGCAGCGAAAUGCGAUAAGUAGUGUGAAUUGCAGAAUUCAGUGAAUCAUCGAAUCUUUGAACGCACAUUGCGCCCCUUGGUAUUCCAUGGGGCAUGCCUGUUCGAGCGUCAUUUGUACCCUCAAGCUCUUCUUGGUGUUGGGUGUUUGUCUCGCGGUUCUGCGCAGACUCGCCUUAAAACAAUUGGCAGCCGGCUUGUUAGCCUGGAGCGCAGCACAUAUUGCGCCUCUUGCUAGCGACUGCCCGGCACCCAUCAAGCCCAUUUAUUUGCUCUUGACCUCGGAUCAGGUAGGGAUACCCGCUGAACUUAAGCAUAUCAAUAAGCGGAGGA
rnacentral:misc_RNA from 1 species